UAAGGAAUAUUGGACAAUGGGGGCAACCCUGAUCCAGCCAUGCCGCGUGAAGGAUGAAGGCGCUAUGCGUUGUAAACUUCUUUUGUACGGGAAUAAACCCUUCUACGUGUAGAAGGCUGAAUGUACCGUAAGAAUAAGGGUCGGCUAACUUCGUGCCAGCAGCCGCGGUAAGACGAAGGACCCGAGCGUUAUCCGGAUUUAUUGGGUUUAAAGGGUGCGUAGGCGGCUUGAUAAGUCAGUGGUGAAAGCCUGCAGCUUAACUGCGGAAUUGCCAUUGAUACUGUCGAGCUUGAAUAUGGUUGAAGUGGGCGGAAUAUGACAUGUAGCGGUGAAAUGCUUAGAUAUGUCAUAGAACACCGAUUGCGAAGGCAGCUCACUAAGCCAUCAUUGACGCUGAGGCACGAAAGCGUGGGGAUCAAACAGG
rnacentral:rRNA from 1 species